ensembl:lncRNA
CUCUGUGUGUGUCUCUCUCUCUCUCUGUGUCUCUCUCUGUGUGUGUCUCUCUCUCUCUCUGUGUCUCUUCCUCUAUGCAUCAUGUGUAAUACAGUAUGCUGUAGUAAUAAUACAAUGGUGUGUGUGUGUGUGUGUGCGCGUGUGUGUGUGCACAGGAAGUGGCAGUGGCCCGCUCCACACAGACGGCUGUCUCACGUUACUCAGCCUCAGUUUUCUCUUUUCCGUAUGCAACAGGAAAUGGAUGUAUAUUACAUAAGAGGUGGGGGGUGGAGUCUCUGUGGGGUGGAACUGUUUACCAUUACUCAACAUUUUCCCCCGUGUGUGUGAGAGAGAGAGAGAGAGAGAGAGAGAGAGAGAGAUCAGUGGCAGGAAGAUGACUUUCAUUUCUACUUGACUGAGCAGGAGGCUCUCUCUGUAUCAGAUAAGAGAAUGUUUGAGUUUGGAGAUUUCUGAUGGUGCUGUGGUGAUGGUGAUGGUGAAGAUGGCUGUGAAUGAAGGACACACACUUACACACUCUUUGCUCGGAU